GUAGGUGGCAAGCGUUGUCCGGAAUUAUUGGGCGUAAAGCGCGCGCAGGCGGUCCUUUAAGUCUGAUGUGAAAGCCCGCGGCUCAACCGUGGAGGGUCAUUGGAAACUGGGGGACUUGAGUACAGAAGAGGAAAGCGGAAUUCCAAGUGUAGCGGUGAAAUGCGUAGAGAUUUGGAGGAACACCAGUGGCGAAGGCGGCUUUCUGGUCUGUAACUGACGCUGAGGCGCGAAAGCGUGGGGAGCAAGCAGGGAUUAGAUACCCUGGUAGUCCACGCCGUAAACGAUGAGUGCUAAGUGUUAGGGGGUUUCCCGCCCCUUAGUGCUGCAGCUAACGCAUUAAGCACUCCGCCUGGGGAGUACGGCCGCAAGGCUG
rnacentral:rRNA from 1 species